UUUUAUUAUUUAUAUAGCACCAGCAAAUUCCAUAGCACUGUACAAUGGGUUGACUAACAGGCUCAUAUUUGUAACCAGAUGGGUUGGACGCACAGUAACAUAGGAGCUGAGGGCCCUGCUCAAUGAGCUUACAUGCUAGACGCAGUGGGGUAUAGUGACACAAAAAGGUACGGGUGGGGUAGAAAAGUAGGUUGCUGGAAAAGUAUUCACUGGAGACUUAGUAGGUUAUUUUUUUACAGUUGCAGGAGAGGAGUCAGGCUGUAGGCAUGAAACGCUGUUAACAGUUUAAUUGAUAUGCUUUCCUGAAGAAGUGAGCUUUCAAUUAUUUUUUUGAUGAAGUGGAGACUGGGUGAAAGUCUAACGGAGAAGGAAAGGGAGUUCCACAGAAGAGGUGCAGCCUUGGAGAAAUCUCGAAGGUGAGCAUCAGAGGUGGGAGUACAGACAGAGGAUAGAUGUAGGUCUUCG